GGGCGCUUAGCUCAGUUGGGAGAGCAUCGCCCUUACAAGGCGAGGGUCACAAGUUCAAGUCUUGUAGCGCCCACCA
rnacentral:tRNA from 12 species